rnacentral:rRNA from 1 species
CAUCACUACGCUAGAUGCAUAUCAAUAAGCGGAGGAAAAGAAACUAACAAGGAUUCCCCUAGUAACGGCGAGUGAAGCGGGAAGAGCUCAAGUUUGAAAUCUUAAAGGGUUUCCCUUUACGAAUUGUAGUUUAAAGAAGUGUUUUCUGUUGGAGUUUCGGUAAAAGUUCUUUGGAAUAGGACAUCAUAGAGGGUGAGAAUCCCGUAUUUGACCGUUACUUUCCAGCUGUGUGAUACACUUUCAAAGAGUCGGAUUGUUUGGGAAUGCAGUCCAAGAUGGGUGGUAAAUUUCAUCUAAAGCUAAAUAUUGGCGAGAGACCGAUAGCGAACAAGUACCGUGAGGGAAAGAUGAAAAGAACUUUGAAAAGAGAGUUAAACAGUACGUGAAAUUGUCAAAAGGGAAGCGUUUGACACCAGUGUUGUUUAGUUGAAAAUCAAUUCAAUAGUUUUUGAUUCUAAGUAGUAUUGACUUCAUCAGCUUGCUGCUUUCUUCUCAGAAAUUAUUGAAUGCACUUUUCAGUUAACAAGUCAACAUCAAUUUCUUUUGUUGUAAAAGGGUAAGAGGAAGGUGGCUUACGUUUCGGCGUAAGUGUUUAUAGCCUUUUACCUCUGCAAUCGGAGAGAUUGAGGACAGCAGCGUAGACUCCUUCUGGGGUUAGAUACACUUGUGCUAAGCUAUAGCCUUGUAUAGACAACUUAUUGACUAUGCUCAGUCAUGUAGCUUACUCGCUUGUGCUAUUUUACCUACGCUUAGGAUGUUGAAGAUAUGCGCGACACG